rnacentral:ribozyme from 1 species
GCCCCACGCAGGCGCCACCUUCUCGAGGUGUGGGGUGAGCAACUCACCAAAUGGUGAGGCGAAGAGCGCCA